UGGCAGGCGGCGUGCUAUAAUGCAAGUCGAGCGGACAGAAGGGAGCUUGCUCCCGGAUGUUAGCGGCGGACGGGUGAGUAACACGUGGGUAACCUGCCUGUAAGACUGGGAUAACUCCGGGAAACCGGAGCUAAUACCGGAUAGUUCCUUGAACCGCAUGGUUCAAGGAUGAAAGACGGUUUCGGCUGUCACUUACAGAUGGACCCGCGGCGCAUUAGCUAGUUGGUGAGGUAACGGCUCACCAAGGCGACGAUGCGUAGCCGACCCUGAGGAGGGUGAAUUCGUCCACACUGGGACUGAGACACGGCCCAGACUCCUACGGGAGGCAGCAGUAGGGAAUCUUCCGCAAUGGACGAAAGUCCUGACGGAGCAACGGCCGCGUGAGUGAUGAAGGUUUUCGGAUCGUAAAGCUCUGUUGUUAGGGAAGAACAAGUGCAAGAGUAACUGCUUGCACCUUGACGGUACCUAACCAGAAAGCCACGGCUAACUACGUGCCAGCAGCCGCGGUAAUACGUAGGUGGCAAGCGUUGUCCGGAAUUAUUGGGCGUAAAGGGCUCGCAGGCGGUUUCUUAAGUCUGAUGUGAAAGCCCCCGGCUCAACCGGGGAGGGUCAUUGGAAACUGGGAAACUUGAGUGCAGAAGAGGAGAGUGGAAUUCCACGUGUAGCGGUGAAAUGCGUAGAGAUGUGGAGGAACACCAGUGGCGAAGGCGACUCUCUGGUCUGUAACUGACGCUGAGGAGCGAAAGCGUGGGGAGCGAACAGGAUUAGAUACCCUGGUAGUCCACGCCGUAAACGAUGAGUGCUAAGUGUUAGGGGGUUUCCGCCCCUUAGUGCUGCAGCUAACGCAUUAAGCACUCCGCCUGGGGAGUACGGUCGCAAGACUGAAACUCAAAGGAAUUGACGGGGGCCCGCACAAGCGGUGGAGCAUGUGGUUUAAUUCGAAGCAACGCGAAGAACCUUACCAGGUCUUGACAUCCUCUGACAACCCUAGAGAUAGGGCUUUCCCUUCGGGGACAGAGUGACAGGUGGUGCAUGGUUGUCGUCAGCUCGUGUCUGGAGAUGUUGGGUUAAGUCCCGCAACGAACGGCAACCCUUGAUCUUAAGUUGGCCAGCAUUCAGUUGGGCACUCUAAGGUGACUGCCGGUGACAAACCGGAGGAAGGUGGGGAUGACGUCAAAUCAUCAUGCCCCUUAUGACCUGGGCUACACACGUGCUACAAUGGACAGAACAAAGGGCUGCGAGACCGCAAGGUUUAGCCAAUCCCACAAAUCUGUUCUCAGUUCGGAUCGCAGUCUGCAACUCGACUGCGUGAAGCUGGAAUCGCUAGUAAUCGCGGAUCAGCAUGCCGCGGUGAAUACGUUCCCGGGCCUUGUACACACCGCCCGUCACACCACGAGAGUUUGCAACACCCGAAGUCGGUGAGGUAACCUUUAUGGAGCCAGCCGCCGAAGGUGUCAGAUGUCA
rnacentral:rRNA from 1 species